GACAGAGGGUGCAAACGUUGUUCGGAAUUACUGGGCGUAAAGCGCGUGUAGGUGGCUCUGCAAGUCGGAUGUGAAAGCCCUGGGCUCAACCUAGGAAGUGCACUCGAAACUGCAGAGCUUGAGGUCUGGAGAGGGAAGCGGAAUUCUCGGUGUAGAGGUGAAAUUCGUAGAUAUCGAGAGGAACACCGGUGGCGAAGGCGGCUUCCUGGACAGCACCUGACACUGAGACGCGAAAGCGUGGGGAGCAAACAGG
rnacentral:misc_RNA from 1 species